GUCUCCUCAGUGCAGGGCCUCCCCAGUGAAGCUGGCUGUCAACCCUGUACUGCAGGUUUCUAUUGCAGUGAAGCCGGCCUCAGGGCACCAACUGGACUCUGCAGCAAAGGUUACUGGUGUCCCUCUGGUCAGUCUGUGGCUACAGCUUUGUCGUGUCCUACUGGUCAUUUUUGCUUAGAAGGUAGUUCAGAACCCGAGCCCUGUCCAUCUGGAACCUACCAAGAUAAGCAAAAACAGGCAUCCUGUUCAGUGUGUGAACAAGGUUACUACUGUAACGUGUCCUCACCAAUGCCAUGCCCCAAGGGACACUACUGUCCUGCAGGUACAUCCCUUCCCCACCAGCAUCCCUGCCCAAAGGGAUCAUUUAAUCCAAGUCUGC
rnacentral:lncRNA from 1 species